UACAGAGGGGGCAAGCGUUAUUCGGAAUUAUUGGGCGUAAAGGGCGCGUAGGCGGCUUGGCAAGUGGAAGGUGAAGUCCCUCGGCUUAACCGAGGAACUGCCCUCCAAACUGCUUUGCUUGAGGCCGGGAGAGGUGAGUGGAAUUCCCAGUGUAGCGGUGAAAUGCGUAGAUAUUGGGAGGAACACCAGUGGCGAAGGCGGCUCACUGGACCGGUUCUGACGCUGAUGCGCGAAAGCGUGGGGAGCAAACGGG
rnacentral:rRNA from 1 species